rnacentral:rRNA from 1 species
GUCUUUAUGGCAAAUGUGAGAUGCAGUGUAUGGAAUGUCAAAUUUCUAGUAUGAGAAAUUAACGAUUUAAGUCCUUCUUAAAUGAGGCCAUUUACCCAUAGAGGGUGCCAGGCCCGUAUAACGUUAAUGAUUACUAGAUGGCAUUUCCAAAGAGUCGUGUUGCUUGAUAGUGCAGCACUAAGUGGGUGGUAAACUCCAUCUAAAACUAAAUAUAACCAUGAGACCGAUAGUAAACAAGUACCGUGAGGGAAAGUUGAAAAGAACUCUGAAUAGAGAGUUAAAUAGUACGUGAAACUGCUUAGAGGUUAAGCCCGAUGAACCUGAAUAUCCAUUAUAGAAAAUUCAUCAUUAUGAUUUUAAUAUUAAUAAUAUUAUAAUAAUGGUGUGCAUUUUUUCUAUAACGGACAUUGUAAUCUAUUAACAUAAAUAUAUUUAUCAUAAGAUCAAUGAUGCGUAAGUUUAUUCAAAUUAUUUUGCUUGCAAUUUAACAUAGAAUAAAUGCUCUUGAUUUGAUAAAGUGUUGAUAGAUUUAUUGUAUAUAGUGCUUAAAUAUUUAUAUUUUAUAAUAGCAUAUUAAUCAUUGAUUUUUAUGUUUAUUAUAUGCACUUAUAUGAUUAACAAUGCGAAAGAUUCAGGAUACCUUCGGGACCCGUCUUGAAACACGGACCAAGGAGUCUAACAUAUUUGCAAGUUAUUGGGUAUCAAAACCUAAUAGCGAAAUUAACAUAACUUUAAUGGGAUUAGUUUUUAGAUUAUUUAUAGUCUAUUAAUUCAAUCCCGGGGCGUUCUAUAUAGUUAUGUAUAAUAAUAUUUAUAUUAUUUAUACCUCUAACUAGAGCGUACCUUGAGCAUAUAUGCUGUGACCCGAAAGAUGGUGAACUAUACUUGAUCAGGUUGAAGUCAGGGGAAACCCUGAUGGAAGACCGAAACAGUUCUGACGUGCAAAUCGA